rnacentral:rRNA from 1 species
AUGAACGCUGGCGGCGUGCCUAAUACAUGCAAGUCGAGCGAACAGACGAGGAGCUUGCUCCUCUGACGUUAGCGGCGGACGGGUGAGUAACACGUGGAUAACCUACCUAUAAGACUGGGAUAACUUCGGGAAACCGGAGCUAAUACCGGAUAAUAUAUUGAACCGCAUGGUUCAAUAGUGAAAGACGGUUUUGCUGUCACUUAUAGAUGGAUCCGCGCCGCAUUAGCUAGUUGGUAAGGUAACGGCUUACCAAGGCAACGAUGCGUAGCCGACCUGAGAGGGUGAUCGGCCACACUGGAACUGAGACACGGUCCAGACUCCUACGGGAGGCAGCAGUAGGGAAUCUUCCGCAAUGGGCGAAAGCUUGACGGAGCAACGCCGCGUGAGUGAUGAAGGUCUUCGGAUCGUAAAACUCUGUUAUUAGGGAAGAACAAAUGUGUAAGUAACUAUGCACGUCUUGACGGUACCUAAUCAGAAAGCCACGGCUAACUACGUGC